rfam:Danio rerio chromosome 24, GRCz11 reference primary assembly.
GUGGGUUAUGGAGAUAUGUUGCCUGUAACAAGGCAAGGCAAAUGUGUAGCAUUCCUUUGUGCAAUGGUCGGGGUUUUGCUUAUCGUUCUGCCAGUGCCCAUAAUCGUCAACAAC